AGUGAACGCUGGCGGUAGGCCUAACACAUGCAAGUCGAACGGCAGCACAGGAGAGCUUGCUCUCUGGGUGGCGAGUGGCGGACGGGCGAGGAAUACAUCGGGAUCUACCUUUUCGUGGGGGAUAACGUAGGGAAACUUACGCUAAUACCGCAUACGACCUACGGGUGAAAGUGGGGACCGCAAAGCCUCACGCGAUUAGA
rnacentral:rRNA from 1 species